AACAAGGUUUCCGUAGGUGAACCUGCGGAAGGAUCAUUAUCUAUUCCAUGAGGUGUGGUCGCGGCCCCCGGGGGGGCUAAACUCCCCCAGGGCGGUAGAGGUAACACUUUCACGCGCCACAUGUCUGAAUCCUUUUUUUACGAGCACCUUUCGUUCUCCUUCGGUGGGGCAACCUGCCGCUGGAACUUAACAAUAACCUUUUUUGCAUCUAGCAUUACCUGUUCUGAUACAAACAAUCGUUACAACUUUCAACAAUGGAUCUCUUGGCUCUGGCAUCGAUGAAGAACGCAGCGAAAUGCGAUAAGUAGUGUGAAUUGCAGAAUUCAGUGAAUCAUCGAAUCUUUGAACGCACAUUGCGCCCCUUGGUAUUCCAUGGGGCAUGCCUGUUCGAGCGUCAUCUACACCCUCAAGCUCUGCUUGGUGUUGGGCGUCUGUCCCGCCUUUGCGCGUGGACUCGCCCCAAAUUCAUUGGCAGCGGUCCUUGCCUCCUCUCGCGCAGCACAUUGCGCUUCUCGAGGUGCGCGGCCCGCGUCCACGAAGCAACAUUACCCGUCUUUGACCUCGGAUCAGGUAGGGAUACCCGCUGAACUUAA
rnacentral:rRNA from 1 species